rnacentral:rRNA from 1 species
UCCCUACGGGAGGCAGCAGUGGGGAAUAUUGCGCAAUGGGCGAAAGCCUGACGCAGCGACGCCGCGUGAGGGAUGAAGGUCUUCGGAUUGUAAACUUCCUUUGUACGGGACGAAGAAAGUGACGGUACCGUAAGAAUAAGCCACGGCUAACUACGUGCCAGCAGCCGCGGUAAUACGUAGGUGGCAAGCGUUAUCCGGAUUUACUGGGUGUAAAGGGCGAGUAGGCGGGAUUGCAAGUCAGAUGUGAAAACUAUGGGCUCAACCGAUAGAGUGCAUUUGAAACUGCAGUUCUUGAGUGAUGGAGA